rnacentral:rRNA from 1 species
CCAGACUCCUACGGGAGGCAGCAGUGGGGAAUAUUGCACAAUGGGGGAAACCCUGAUGCAGCAACGCCGCGUGAGUGAAGAAGUAUUUCGAUAUGUAAAGCUCUAUCAGCAGGGAAGAAGAUGACGGUACCUGGGUAAGAAGCCCCGGCUAACUACGUGCCAGCAGCCGCGGUAAUACGUAGGGGGCAAGCGUUAUCCGGAUUUACUGGGUGUAAAGGGAGCGUAGACGGUGCAGCAAGUCUGAUGUGAAAGGUCGGGGCCCAACCCCGGGACUGCAUUGGAAACUGUUGAACUGGAGUACAGGAGAGGUAAGCGGAAUUCCUAGUGUAGCGGUGAAAUGCGUAGAUAUUAGGAGGAACACCAGUGGCGAAGGCGGCUUACUGGACUGUAACUGACGUUGAGGCUCGAAAGCGUGGGGAGCAAACAGGAUUAGAUACCCUGGUAUU